rnacentral:miRNA from 1 species
GUAAGGAUAAGAUUGAGAGAGAGGGAUAGAGGGAUAAGUAAUAAAAGUGAAAAUAAUUUCAAAUAAAUUUCAGUUUUAUUUUUGUUUUCACUUUUGUUAUUCCUCCUUCCCAUCCCCCCUCUUAUCUUCCAUCU